AGAUUGAACGCUGGCGGCAUGCUUUACACAUGCAAGUCGAACGGCAGCACGGGGGCAACCCUGGUGGCGAGUGGCGAACGGGUGAGUAAUAUAUCGGAACGUACCCGGAAAUGGGGGGAUAACGUAGCGAAAGUUACGCUAAUACCGCAUAUGCCCUGAGGGGGAAGCGGGGGAUUCGUAAGAACCUCGCGUUUUCGGAGCGGCCGAUAUCGGAUUAGCUAGUAGGUGAGGUAAAGGCUCACCUAGGCGACGAUCCGUAGCUGGUCUGAGAGGACGACCAGCCACACUGGAACUGAGACACGGUCCAGACUCCGUACGGGAGCAGCAGUGGGGAAUUUGGACAAUGGGACGCAAGCCUGAUCCAGCCAUGCCGCGUGAGUGAAGAAGGCUCGGGUUGUAAGCUCUUCAGUACCGGAAAGAAACGACGUAACGGUUAACUAACC
rnacentral:rRNA from 1 species